UACAGAGGGGGCAAGCGUUGUCCGGAAUCAUUGGGCGUAAAGCGCGCGUAGGUGGCUUCGUAAGUCCGUUGUGAAAGUCAAAGGCUCAACCUUUGAAUGCCGAUGGAUACUGCGGAGCUAGAGUACGGAAGAGGCGAGUGGAAUUCCUGGUGUAGCGGUGGAAUGCGCAGAUAUCAGGAGGAACACCAAUAGCGAAGGCAGCUCGCUGGGACGUUACUGACACUGAGGCGCGAAAGCGUGGGGAGCGAACGGG
rnacentral:rRNA from 1 species